rnacentral:miRNA from 1 species
CAGGAAACCCAGUUAAAUGUGAAUUUCAGAUCAACAACAAAUAACUCCAGUAUGAGCAUGUCCCAUGCUAUAUUUGGGACAUAUUUAUGCUAAAAUUCAUUUGUUGCUGAUCUGAAAUUCAAGUUUAACUGGUGUCCUGU